rnacentral:rRNA from 1 species
AGCAGCCGCGGUAAUUCCAGCUCCAAUAGCGUAUAUUAAAGUUGUUGCAGUUAAAAAGCUCGUAGUUGAAUUUCGGGGUCAGUAGGUUGGUCAUGCCUCCGGUAUGUACUGGUCUCACUGAUUCCUCCUUCCUGAUGAGCCGUAAUGCCAUUAAUUUGGUGUUGCGGGGAAUCUGGACCGUUACUUUGAAAAAAUUAGAGUGUUUAAAGCAAGCUAACGCUUGAAUACAUUAGCAUGGAAUAAUGGAAUAGGACGUUCGAUCCUAUUUUGUUGGUUUCUAGGAUUGACGUAAUGAUUAAUAGGGAUAGUUGGGGGGCAUUAGUAUUCAAUUGUCAGAGGUGAAAAUUCUUGGAUUUAUUGAGGACUAACUACUGCGAAAGCAUUUGCCAAGGAUGUUUUCAUUAAUCAAGAACGAAAGUUAGGGGAUCGAAGACGAUCAGAUACCGUCGU